AGAGUUUGAUCAUGGCUCAGAUUGAACGCUGGCGGAAUGCUUUACACAUGCAAGUCGAACGGCAGCACGGGGCAACCGUGGUGGCGAGUGGCGAACGGGUGAGUAAUACAUCGGAACGUGCCCAAUCGUGGGGGAUAACGUAGCGAAAGUUACGCUAAUACCGCAUACGAUCUACGGAUGAAAGCGGGGGAUCGCAAGACCUCGCGCGAAUGGAGCGGCCGAUGUCAGAUUAGGUAGUUGGUGGGGUAAAGGCUCACCAAGCCAACGAUCUGUAGCUGGUCUGAGAGGAACGACCAGCCACACUGGAACUGAGACACGGUCCAGACUCCUACGGGAGGCAGCAGUGGGGAAUUUUGGACAAUGGGCGCAAGCCUGAUCCAGCCAUUCCGCGUGCAGGAUGAAGGCCUUCGGGUUGUAAACUGCUUUUGUACGGAACGAAACGGCGAGCUCUAAUACAGUUUGCUAAUGACGGUACCGUAAGAAUAAGCACCGGCUAACUACGUG
rnacentral:rRNA from 1 species